AGCAUGUGGUUUAAUUCGAAGCAACGCGAAGAACCUUACCAGGUCUUGACAUCCCCUGACAACCCGAGAGAUCGGGCGUUCCCCCUUCGGGGGACAGGGUGACAGGUGGUGCAUGGUUGUCGUCAGCUCGUGUCGUGAGAUGUUGGGUUAAGUCCCGCAACGAGCGCAACCCUCGACCUUAGUUGCCAGCAUUCAGUUGGGCACUCUAAGGUGACUGCCGGCUAAAAGUCGGAGGAAGGUGGGGAUGACGUCAAAUCAUCAUGCCCCUUAUGACCUGGGCUACACACGUGCUACAAUGGGCGGUACAAAGGGUCGCGAACCCGCGAGGGGGAGCCAAUCCCAAAAAGCCGCUCUCAGUUCGGAUUGCAGGCUGCAACUCGCCUGCAUGAAGCCGGAAUCGCUAGUAAUCGCGGAUCAGCAUGCCGCGGUGAAUACGUUCCCGGGCCUU
rnacentral:rRNA from 1 species